AACGAACGCUGGCGGCAUGCCUAACACAUGCAAGUCGAACGAGAUCUUCGGGUCUAGUGGCGCACGGGUGCGUAACGCGUGGGAAUCUGCCCUUUGGUUCGGAAUCACAGUUGGAAACGACUGCUAAUACCGGAUGAUGACGAAAGUCCAAAGAUUUAUCGCCAGAGGAUGAGCCCGCGUAGGAUUAGCUAGUUGGUGUGGUAAAGGCGCACCAAGGCGACGAUCCUUAGCUGGUCUGGGAGGAUGAUCAGCCACACUGGGACUGAGACACGGCCCAGACUCCUACGGGAGGCAGCAGUGGGGAAUAUUGGACAAUGGGCGAAAGCCUGAUCCAGCAAUGCCGCGUGAGUGAUGAAGGCCAUAGGGUUGUAAAGCUCUUUUACCCGGGAUGAUAAUGACAGUACCGGGAGAAUAAGCUCCGGCUAACUCCGUGCCAGCCGCCGCGGUAA
rnacentral:rRNA from 1 species